rnacentral:rRNA from 1 species
UACGUAGGGGGCAAGCGUUGUCCGGAUUCAUUGGGCGUAAAGAGCGUGUAGGCGGCCAGGUAGGUCGGUUGUGAAAACUGGAGUCUCAACCUUCAGAGGUCGACCGAAACCAUCUGGCUAGAGUCCGGGAGAGGAGAGUGGAAUUCCUGGUGUAGCGGUGAAAUGCGCAGAUAUCAGGAGGAACACCGAUGGCGAAGGCAGGUCUCUGGGCCACUACUGACGCUGAGAAGCGAAAGCGUGGGGAGCGAACAGG